GACGAACGCUGGCGGCGUGCUUAACACAUGCAAGUCGAACGGAAAGGCCCCCAUCUUGGUGGGGGUGCUCGAGUGGCGAACGGGUGAGUAACACGUGGGUGAUCUGCCCUGUACUUCGGGAUAAGCUUGGGAAACUGGGUCUAAUACCGGAUAGGACCAUGGUUUAGUGUCUCAUGGUGGAAAGAUUAUUGUUUUGGUGCAGGAUGAGCUCGCGGCCUAUCAGCUUGUUGGUGGGGUAAUGGCCUACCAAGGCGUCGACGGGUAGCCGGCCUGAGAGGGUGGACGGCCACAGUGGGACUGAGAUACGGCCCAGACUCCUACGGGAGGCAGCAGUGGGGAAGAUUGGACAAUGGGCGCAAGCCUGAUGCAGCGACGCCGCGUGGGGGAUGACGGCCUUCGGGUGGUAAACUCCUUUCGUUAGGGACGAAGCCACGCUUUUGGGGUGUGGUGACGGUACCUUUGUGAAGAAGCACCGGCUAACUACGUG
rnacentral:rRNA from 1 species